rnacentral:lncRNA from 1 species
CCUUGUUCCUUCUCUAGUAUCCACCCCUGAAGCCUCAAUUAGAGCUAAAAAUCUUGAGCUUGCCAUGGAAGAUUUCACUUUUGAUUGGCCAUGAGAUCUCACUGGUGGCAAGGUAAGGUUUCUAAACUUCUCUCUCUCCUCCUUUCUUUUAAUUUGGGCCAUUCAUUCCUUUUGAUUAGAGCUGGCAAGUCAUCAAAAUCUACUCGAAACAGGGGUGCUUUGUUUCAGUUUUUCUUC